rnacentral:rRNA from 1 species
AACGAACGCUGGCGGCAUGCCUAACACAUGCAAGUCGAACGAAGCCUUCGGGCUUAGUGGCGCACGGGUGCGUAACGCGUGGGAAUCUGCCCUUGGGUUCGGAAUAACAGUUAGAAAUGACUGCUAAUACCGGAUAUGUCUUCGGACCAAAGGUUUAUCGCCCAAGGAUGAGCCCGCGUAGGAUUAGGUAGUUGGUGGGGUAAUGGCCCACCAAGCCGACGAUCCUUAGCUGGUCCGAGAGGAUGAUCAGCCACACUGGGACUGAGACACGGCCCAGACUCCUACGGGAGGCAGCAGUGGGGAAUAUUGGACAAUGGUCGAAAGCCUGAUCCAGCAAUGCCGCGUGAGUGAUGAAGGCCUUAGGGUUGUAAAGCUCUUUUACCAGGGAUGAUAAUGACAGUACCUGGAGAAUAAGCUCCGGCUAACUCCGUGCCAGCCGCCGCCGUAAUAC